rnacentral:lncRNA from 1 species
ACUGUCAUUAUUAUGUCACAUAAGAUUAUGACUUCUAUCUUGCUAGUAGACCCUCUCCAUUAACUCUCUCUCUUUCUGAUUGAGUGUAAGCUGCUAUAUGAAGGGAUCCACAAGACGAAUAAUUAAGGGGGACCUCUGAUCAACAGCCAGCAAGGAACUGAAUCCCUCAGACCCACAACUCACAAGAAACUGAAGCUGAAGCAGAUUCUUCCUCAGUCAAGCUUCAGGUGCCCAGCUGUAUUGGUAGAGGAGACCAACCACACCCUCCACAGCACAGCACCUGGAGAGGAACUGCUGCCAUGACCAUAGAGGACACCCUCUGGAUACAAUGCCAGACUUGAUGUGGGACUGACCAACCUAUGGACCCCAGGCACCACCACCCAGACCUGCUCAGCACCUGAAACAUUCACAGCCGUGGAGAGAGAACUGUUCACUGCUACCAUCCACACUUCUGGGCCCCUUCAGCAGCAGGGUGACAAGGAAGAGGGAAAUCGACUUGGAAAAGAGGGGACCUCUGACCCAAGAGUUCGGUCAAUGCAUAUGUUGGCAGCCAGCUGCACAUCGCACCAAAUAUGAACUUCAAAUAGAAGAAAGCCUCAUUUGGAAGAAAGCUCAUGCACAGACUGUAAAUAUUUCAGAGCAGAUUGUGUCUCUGUAGAUUAAGUAAGUUGUGAAAGUCUGAACCUCUGCCAAAAUUUUAAGACCUUGACCUUUACAUCUCUGAGUUUCUAUCUGUCAUUUUUCCUUUCUAUCUGUCAUUUUACCUUUCAUACUUAUAAAAUGGAAUUCAUAAUCUUCUCAGCCUACCAAGUGUUAGUGUUCUAGGGAUUCAGAUAAAAUAUGUAUGAAAUUACUUUGAAUUACCUAAAACAUGACAUUUAUUCAUUCAACAAGUAUUUGUUGAACAUAUACGUCCUUCCUGGUGCUGUGUCAGGUGCUGGUGAAUAUAGCUGUGGUCAUGGCAGACUUUACCUCUGCUUUCAUAACUGUAACAUGAAAGUGUUGCUACCACAGUCAUGUUAUUAGAACGACUACUUUAACAUCGACUACUAAUAUAAAAUUUGUAGAUGUUUAAAUGAAAUCAUUAUUUGUGUAACCAUUAAUAUCCUGUGUAAUGUUAUAAUAUUUGGGGCACCUUUGUAAUUGUUAAAUGAUUUAUUUCAUUCCCAGGUGAGUUUGUAGAAAAUAAUACAAUCACUCUCAAUUCCA